rnacentral:rRNA from 1 species
GAAAUGCGAUAAGUAAUGUGAAUUGCAGAAUUCAGUGAAUCAUCGAAUCUUUGAACGCACCUUGCGCCCUUUGGUAUUCCGAUGGGCAUGCCUGUUCGAGUGUCUUGAAUUCAUCGCCGCCUCCGGUUUUGCGACCGGCUGGCGGCGGACUUGGGGGUCUGCCGCGGCAACGCGGCUCCCUUUGAAUGUAUCGGUGGGGUCUCCGAGCACCCACGGGCGUUGUAUUGUCCUCGUCCGACCGGGCCUCGCGUCCCUCGCCUCGACCUGCCGUCUGAGCGGCGGUCAAGCACACUUUGAAAUCUGACCUCGAAUCAGGUAGGACUACCCGCUGAACUUAAGCAUAUCAAUAAGCGGAGGAAAAGAAACUAACAAGGAUUCCCCUAGUAACCUGAGACGCCAAGGCACACAGGGGGAUA